GAUGGACGCUGACAGAAUGCUUAACACAUGCAAGUCAACUUGAAUUUGGGUUUUUAACUUAGGUUUGGGUGGCGGACGGGUGAGUAACGCGUAAAGAACUUGCCUCACAGCUAGGGACAACAUUUGGAAACGAAUGCUAAUACCUAAUAUUAUGAUAAUAGGGCAUCCUAUAAUUAUGAAAGCUAUAAGCGCUGUGAGAGAGCUUUGCGUCCCAUUAGCUAGUUGGAGAGGUAACGGCUCACAAGGCGAUGAUGGGUAGCCGGCCUGAGAGGGUGAUCGGCCACAAGGGGACUGAGACACGGCCCGUACUCCUACGGGAGGCAGCAGUGGGGAAUAUUGGACAAUGGACCGAGAGUCUGAUCCAGCAAUUCUGUGUGCACGAUGAAGUUUUUCGGAAUGUAAAGUGCUUUCAGUUGGGAAGAAACAAAUGACGGUACCAACAGAAGAAGUGACGGCUAAAUACGUG
rnacentral:rRNA from 1 species